CCUACGAGUGGCAGCAGUGAGGAAUAUUGGUCAAUGGACGAGAGUCUGAACCAGCCAAGUAGCGUGAAGGAUGACUGCCCUAUGGGUUGUAAACUUCUUUUAUAAAGGAAUAAAACGAGGCUCGUGUGCCUUUUUGCAUGUACUUUAUGAAUAAGGAUCGGCUAACUCCGCGCCAGCAGCCGCGGUAAUACGGAGGAUCCGAGCGUUAUCCGGAUUUAAUGGGUUUAAAGUGAGCGUAGAUGGGUUGUUAAGUCAGUUGUGAAAGUUUGCGGCUCAACCGUAGAAUUGCAAGUGAUACUGGCAGUCUUGAGUGCAGUUGAGGUAGGCGGAAUUCGUGGUGUAGCGGUGAAAUGCUUAGAUAUCACGAGGAACCCCAGUUGCGAAGGCAUCUAACUAAACUGUAACUGACAUUGAUGCUCGAAAGUGUGGGUAGCAAACAGGAUUAGAUACCCCAGUAGUC
rnacentral:rRNA from 1 species